rnacentral:tRNA from 1 species
GGGCCUGUGGCGCAAUUGGUAGCGCACCCGUCUUGCACACGGGAGGUUGAGGGUUCAAAUCCCUCCGGUUCCAC